rnacentral:lncRNA from 1 species
AAUUGUCAAUACCUGUUCCAAGAGAAUAUUGGAACUAGUUAUUUUUCGGUGAAACAAGAUUAUUGUAAUGAUUUUCAAGACGUCAAAUGCUUGCAAAUUAUGACAGGUUUGUCAAUAUCUUUUUUUCUUUUCAUAGAUUGCAUACUUUUGGUAAAUUUCCGCCUGAAGACGGACAGUUUGCUUAUACAGAUAUUUGUGUUUUCUGAUUUUAAUAGUAACAUUACUUUCAAUUAAAACUUCUGACUUUUCAAAACUAAUUUAGCAUUUGAAGUAAAUAGUUUGAACACAUCUCAUUUUAAAUUUGAUUUAAUAAAACAUUCAAAGUACAUAUUAAGGCUUUCAUUUCAGUGCCUACCAACUAGCAUCAGCGACCUCGUAAAAAGAAAGCUAAAAAAGAUGAAAUAUAAAACGUUUUGAAGCAUACAAACCUAAAGGUUCCAGAUAAAGCGAUCGACGUCAACUUUGCCCUAAAAGAUUUGCAGCCUUAAUUUUUGUUAGAUAACAUAAUUCAUUACUUAUAAGAAGUAAAAUCAGAUAAAAUCAGAACUCCAAUGAAAAUACAAAACGAAAAGUCCUUUAUCAAAUGGAAAAAUCAAAAGCGCAAACACAAAUGAAUAAUAUAUAUGAAUGAAAAAUAAACGAAUGGAAAAUAACUGUCCUAUUCCUGACUUGGUAAAGCAUUUCUAUCUAUGUUGGAUUAAACUUGAUUUUACAGCAAGCAAAACCUCUCACUUCCUAUGACAGUCGCAUAGAAAUCCCAUUUUUUUGUCAACAAUGUGUGAGCAAAGCCUCACAUAAAAGGUAAAUAUCAAAAAUUAGGGUUCAGCCGUCAUCAUUGUGUUAUAUUCAUCAUCAGUUUGGAAACAACAACUAUUUUAAAAAAGAAUAACAAAAUGGCAUAUAGACACUCUAUACAAAAAGUAUAUCAGUGGAAAUGAAUGACAAGAAUACAAAAACAUGACAAUAGCGCAAUAACACAACGGUGGGAUGUAUAAAUUACGAGCCACACCAAACGGAUAUUUACCAAAACUAGACUGAACUAAAAAGGUUCAAUACAUACAAAUGCAAAUUAAAAGACCUAAGAUGAUAAACAACAUCAGUACCUACAUGUAUAAUAUAUACUUUAAAACCGUCAUCUUUUAUUUGUGAAGUUCAUACAGAUCAACAAGGCCUUGAUAUCUUCGGACGAAUUAAUUUUAAGAAAAAGAACGAGACACUCUUGGACACAAAUCUGGUUCAUCAAUUUUCUGCUCAGACACUGGUGACGUUUUAUAAUGGUUGAGUAGUUGUUGCAAGCUCUUGAAUACCGAAAGAGUUGAAAAAUGUAUAUCCCACAAGUAGGUGAAGCUGCUUUUAAAGGGAAAUUGCAAUGUCAACGUUAAAUUCGUCUAGUUUGUCAUGAUAUGUUGUUAGCAGUUUGACAGUUAUGAGUUGUAACGUUUGUCUUUCUUUCCGUUUCAGAUGCUUUGAAUUACGAGAUGAGUAUGGUUUGCACGACAACGACAACGGAUGCAUUCUAGUUUGUAUCUGCCUUGUACCUUUCCUGAUGGCGUACUUUGCAAUAUGAUGUUGUGUUUUUAAGACACUAAU